rnacentral:rRNA from 1 species
CACGUAGGGGGCAAGCGUUGUUCGGAAUUAUUGGGCGUAAAGGGCAUGUAGGCGGUUUCGUAAGCCUGGUGUGAAAUCCUGCAGCUUAACUGUAGAAUUGCAUUGGGUACUGCGAGACUUGAAUCACAGAGGGGAAACUAGAAUUCCAGGUGUAGGGGUGGAAUCUGUAGAUAUCUGGAAGAAUACCGGUGGCGAAGGCGGGUUUCUAGCUGAUGAUUGACGCUGAGGUGCGAAAGUGCGGGGAGCAAACAGG